rnacentral:rRNA from 1 species
GUCGAGAAUCUUUCACAAUGGGGGCAACCCUGAUGGAGCGACGCCGCGUGGAGGAUAAGGUCUUCGGAUUGUAAACUCCUGUCAUGCGUGAACAAGGUUGCUUGGUUAAUACCUGGGCAAAUUGAUGGUAACGCAAGAGGAAGAGACGGCUAACUCUGUGCCAGCAGCCGCGGUAAUACAGAGGUCUCAAGCGUUGUUCGGAAUCACUGGGCGUAAAGGGUGCGUAGGUGGCGUGGUAAGUCAGAUGUGAAAGCCCGGGGCUCAACCUCGGAACUGCAUCCGGUACUGCCAUGCUAGAGUACUGGAGAGGUGACUCGAAUUCUCGGUGUAGCAGUGAAAUGCGUAGAUAUCGAGAGGAAUACCAAAGGCGUAGGCAGGUCACUGGACAGUUACUGACACUGAGGCACGAAGGCCAGGGGAGCGAACGGGAUUAGAAACCCCUGUAGUCC